rnacentral:rRNA from 1 species
CAGGUGCGCAAAGCACAGGAAGGAUGGGUCAAGGACAGGUCAGUGAUGCCCUUAGAUGGUCCGGGCUGCACGCGCACUACAGUGGUCGCCGGAAUURCCUGAUAAUUAUAAAGGCGAUCGAGAGGGAAUGAGCUUUGUAAGAGGCUCAGGAACGAGGAAUUGCUAGUAAUCGCGGACUCAUUAAGACGCGAUGAAUACGUCCCUGUUCUUUGUACACACCGCCCGUCGUUAUCGAAGAUGAAGACAGGCGCGAACGAUCUACCAGAAAGUGAGCGCAGGUCUUUAGAUCUGAUACAAGUCGUAACAAGGUAGCUGUAGGAGAACCUGUAGCUGG